rnacentral:rRNA from 1 species
CCGUACAUGAUAUGGACUACCAGUGCAAUAUGAUACAGUCUCUAAGAGUCGAGUUGUUUGGGAAUGCAGCUCAAAGUGGGUGGUAAAUUCCAUCUAAGGCUAAAUAUUGGUGAGAGACCGAUAGCAAACAAGUACCGUGAGGGAAAGAUGAAAAGAACUUUGGAAAGAGAGUUAACAGUACGUGAAAUUGUUAAAAGGGAAACAUUUGAAGUUAGACUUGUUAUUGUUGGAUCAGCUCUUUUUUAGGAGUGUAUUUCAAUGGUUGACAGACCAGCAUCAAUUUUUGGGUGUUAGAUAAGGGUCUUGAGAAUGUAGCAACUUUGGUUGUGUUAUAGAUCUUGACUUGAUAUAAUGCUUAGGAUUGAGGAACGCAGUGAGCUUUUUAUUAAGUGGAUUCUUUGGAAU